CCUACGGGGGGCAGCAGUGAGGAAUAUUGGUCAAUGGGCGUAAGCCUGAACCAGCCAAGUCGCGUGAGGGAUGAAGGUUCUAUGGAUCGUAAACCUCUUUUGUACGGGAAUAAAGUGUGGGACGUGUCCUAUUUUGUAUGUACCUUAUGAAUAAGGAUCGGCUAACUCCGUGCCAGCAGCCGCGGUAAUACGGAGGAUCCUAGCGUUAUCCGGAUUUAUUGGGUUUAAAGGGUGCGUAGGCGGUCUGUUAAGUCAGCGGUGAAAGUCUGUGGCUCAACCAUAGAAUUGCCGUUGAUACUGGUGGGCUUGAGUAUGUUUGAGGCAGGCGGAAUGCGUGGUGUAGCGGUGAAAUGCUUAGAGAUCACGCAGAACCCCGAUUGCGAAGGCAGCCUGCCAAGCCAUGACUGACGCUGAGGCACGAAAGCGUGGGGAUCAAACAGGAUUAGAUACCCGAGUAGUC
rnacentral:rRNA from 1 species